rnacentral:rRNA from 1 species
GACGAACUGUGCAAACGUUAUUCGGAAUCACUGGGCUUAAAGGGUGCGUAGGCGGUCGUUGUAAGUAGGGUGUGAAAGCCCCCCGGCUCAACCGGGGAACUGCGUCCUAAACUGCGAGGCUAGAGUGAGGUGAGGGGUGUGUGGAACGUUCCAGUGGAGACGGUGAAAUGUGUUGAUAUUGGAAGGAACGCCGGUGGCGCA